rnacentral:rRNA from 1 species
AUUGAACGCUGGCGGCAUGCCUUACACAUGCAAGUCGAACGGUAACUGGCCUUCUUUUUCCGACGAGUGGCUUACGGGUGAGUAAUUCAUCUGAACGUGCCCGAUCUUGGGGUAUAACGUGGCUAAAGCUUUGCUAAUACCUCAUACGAUCUACGUUUUAAAGCAGUGGACCUCAUGGCCUUUCGCGGACUCUUCCGCCGAUGGAGGAUUAGGUAGUUGUUGGGCUAAAAGCUUACCAAGCCGAGGAUCUGUAGCUGUUCUGAGAGGAUGAUCAGCCACACUGGGACUGAGACACGGACCAGACGCCUACGGGAGGCAGCAGUGGGGAAUUUUGGACAAGGGGGGAAAGCGUGAUACAGAGAGGCCGCGUGCAGGAUGAAGGAGUUCGGGUUGUAAAAUGCUUUUGUACGGAAGGAAAAGACUUCGUUUAAUACAGGAGGGUCAUGACGGUACCGGAAGAAGAAGCACCGGCUAACUACGUG